rnacentral:rRNA from 1 species
GCGAGUGAAGCGGGAAGAGCACAAAUUUUAAAUCUACCUGGUUUUACCGGGUCGAGUUGUAAUUUGAAGAAGCGUUUUUAAUGUUCCGGGUUGGUUUAAAUCCUUUGGGAUAAGGUAUCAUGGAGGGUGAGAAUCCCGUGUAUAUCAACCGCUGGGAUGUUAAUAAUACGUUCUCUAAGAGUCGAGUUGUUUGGGAAUGCAGCUCUAAAUGGGUGGUAAAUUUCACCUAAUGCUAAAUAUAAGCGAGAGACCGAUAGCGAACAAGUACCGUGAGGGAAAGAUGAAAAGAACUUUGAAAAGAGAGUUAAAUAGUACGUGAAAUUGUUGAAAGGGAAACGAUUGAAGUCAGUCAUGCUGGUGAGAAUCAAUUUUGAGGAAGGGGGAUUUUUUUGAACCUAACCUUGAGGUGCACUUCUUCGCUCGGCAGGUUAGCGUCGAUUUUGAAUAUCAUAAAAUGAUUGGGGGAAGGUAACUCUUUCGAGAGUGUUAUAGCCCUCGAUUAAUGUGAUGUUUGGGAUCGAGGAUUGCAACGGAUACCUUUUGGCUAGCCACCUGGCCUCUGAUACGAUGUUGGGUUAUAAACAGCAUGCUGAUUAUGAUCUGAUUAUUGGUCAAAAGGUUAGAGUGAGCAUAAAUUCGUUAAGGACGC